GGCCUUGUGGCUCAACGGCAGAGCGUCUGACUCCAGAUCAGAAGGUUAUCCGUUCAAAUCGGGUCAGGGUCA